rnacentral:rRNA from 1 species
GCAAGUCGAACGAGACCUUCGGGUCUAGUGGCGCACGGGUGCGUAACGCGUGGGAAUCUGCCCUUGGGUUCGGAAUAACAGUUGGAAACGACUGCUAAUACCGGAUGAUGACGUAAGUCCAAAGAUUUAUCGCCCAGGGAUGAGCCCGCGUAGGAUCAGCUAGUUGGUGAGGUAAAGGCUCACCAAGGCGACGAUCCUUAGCUGGUCUGAGAGGAUGAUCAGCCACACUGGGACUGAGACACGGCCCAGACUCCUACGGGAGGCAGCAGUGGGGAAUAUUGGACAAUGGGCGAAAGCCUGAUCCAGCAAUGCCGCGUGGGUGAUGAAGGCCUUAGGGUUGUAAAGCUCUUCUACCCGGGAUGAUAAUGACAGUACCGGGAGAAUAAGCUCCGGCUAACUCCGUGCCAGCAGCCGCGGUAAUACGGAGGGAGCUAGCGUUGUUCGGAAUUACUGGGCGUAAAGCGCACGUAGGCGGCGAUCUAAGUCAGAGGUGAAAGCCCGGGGCUCAACCCCGGAAUAGCCUUUGAGACUGGAUUGCUUGAAUCCAGGAGAGGUGAGUGGAAUUCCGAGUGUAGAGGUGAAAUUCGUAGAUAUUCGGAAGAACACCAGUGGCGAAGGCGGCUCACUGGACUGGUAUUGACGCUGAGGUGCGAAAGCGUGGGGGAGCAACAGGAUUAGAUACCCUGGUAGUC